UACAUUCCCUCCCAGCUGGUGUUGUGGGGCGAGAGGGAGCUGUGGAGCUGGCUCCCAGGGGUGGGUGUAUUUGUGCACAUCCUGUGAGGGAGGCCCCGACGGCCCUUUGUUCUAAGUUAUCUAUUCUGGGUGUUUGUACAGUGAAAUGCCUUGGAAGAUAAAGAUAGUGUCUCCCUUCCCUGUCUCCCCACCGGAGAAAAGGGCAGGUUUGCCCGCAGCCUUGGAAAAUAGAGUGUCUCGUUCUGUGGCAACAGGCAGGCAUGGUUACUGUCCAGCAUAAUAAAGAUGAUGUCUCCCUCCAGGAAAGAGUGCAGGCAUGUGUACUACCUGCUAGAGAAGAACCGGGUUCCCUAGGCUCAAGGGUCCUCCCUGUAACGGACCCACUGCAUGUGCGGGUGCUGUCUGCCUUCUUCCUGAACCCCUGAAGGGAGUGGAGCCCAGGAUACUGGUGCAGAAAUGCCAAUACCCCAGCUAUGGCUGUUGCUGACAUAGCAAACAAGUUUAUUCCGGACCUGAGUGGUCCCUGGUUUGUUUGGAUGGGAAGAGGAGCACCUUGUCUUCAUGGAGCAGGUUCCAGGGAAUGAUGUACAGCUGGAGAAGCAGGUGCCGCUGCCUCGCCUGCUGGAAGGGAGCCCGUCAGAGCGACCAGGCUUUUGCUUCAUUGGCGCAGACUCUGUGUAUGAGAGAUGGAGUCUU
rnacentral:lncRNA from 10 species